UACGUAGGGUGCGAGCGUUGUCCGGAAUUAUUGGGCGUAAAGAGCUCGUAGGCGGUGUGUCGCGUCGGCCGUGAAAACCUGGGGCUUAACUCUGGGCGUGCGGUCGAUACGGGCAUCACUGGAGUUCGGCAGGGGAGACUGGAAUUCCUGGUGUAGCGGUGAAAUGCGCAGAUAUCAGGAAGAACACCAAUGGCGAAGGCAGCUCUCUGGGACGGUACUGACGCUGAGACGCGAAAGCGUGGGGAGCGAACAGG
rnacentral:rRNA from 1 species